CCUACGGGGGGCAGCAGUGAGGAAUAUUGGUCAAUGGCCGGAAGGCUGAACCAGCCAUGCCGCGUGAAGGUCAGUGCCCUAUGGGCGUUAAACUUCUUUUGUGCGGGAGCAAUAAUGGUCACGUGUGGCGAGCCGAAUGUAACGUACGAAUAAGCAUCGGCUAACUCCGUGCCAGCAGCCGCGGUAAUACGGGGGCUCCGAGCGUUAUCCGGAUUUAUUGGGUUUAAAGGGAGCGUAGGUGGAUUGUUAAGUCAGGUGUGAAUGUUUGCGGCUUAACCGUAAAAUUGCAGUUGAAACUGGCAGUCUUGAGUACAGUAGAGGUGAGCGGAAUUCGUGGUGUAGCGGUGAAAUGCGUAGAUAUCACGAAGAACUCCGAUUGCGAAGGCAGUUCACUGGACUGCAACUGACACUGAGGCUCGAAAGUGUGGGUAUCAAACAGGAUUAGAUACCCCAGUAGUC
rnacentral:rRNA from 1 species